rnacentral:lncRNA from 1 species
AUAUAUAUAUAGAGUCAUGCUCCAGUGAGAACCAAUGUUAGUGUGAGAUAUGAGAUCUAAUCUCAGCCACACAAUUUAUACCUUAUAUCAAUCUCUCAUCACACAUUAAUUUUUAAUUUCUAAAUAUUUUAGCAUCAUCUUCAUUCUAAUUCCACCACUGCCACCUUCAACCACCGCCGACCACCAUUUCCGGUCACCACCACCUCCGGCGACCACCGGAAAAUCACCACCGACAAACAUAAAAUCACCACCAUCAAACCGAAAAUGACCAUCGGAAAACUAAAAAUCACCGCUGGAAAAAUGAAAAUCACCACAUCACCACCAUCUACAAACCACCACCACUAUCUACAAACCCCCAAAUCUGAAAAAUUAUCAACUACAAAGUAAAAUCAGCUCCAAAAAACAAAAAUCACCACCGCAAAACAAAAAAUCACCACCAGUAAAGGAAAAAAUCAACACCAGAAAAAUAAAAUCACCAACGCCAAAAUAGAUCCAACAAUUAAUAGCGUCUCCAGCGACACAACGGCAACACCCACUUCAACGCAUCUCCACCUUCAAACACCACCCCUCCACCACCGAUUAACCCUUUCUUCCCUUGUUUCCUCCUUCGCCUCCGAUCUUGUCUUCUCCUUUUUCAUCUUCGUUGACUUCAACUCCACCUCCUUCUCCUCCACCGGCUCCUUCAUCGUCAUCGCCAAGAAGCUCUACACCAAUACAGUUGCUGAUUAGCCUGAUUGUGUCGCUGGGGAAGGCAGCGGCGUUUUCACCGCCGGUGGAUUGUGUCACUGUAAAGGCGGCGAAGUUUUCACCGCUGGUGGAUGGGUCGAGGAAGGUAGAAGGAGACGGAAGGGACAAAGAUGACGGGAGAAGGAGAAUGGAGAGAGAGAUGGAGAGCACAGUGGAGGGGAUGAACAGGUCUGAUUGAAGAUUGACGUCGGAGGUGAAGAACAAUGUUAUCGACGACAAAAAGCGGUGGUGUGGGGAUUGGGGAUGAAAUGAGAAGAUAAAUAGUCAAGCACGUGGUUAGGAGAGAAAAAAUGUGAGGGUGUGAUUAAAAGUUGUAUUAUAAAUAAAGGGCUGAGAUUAGAUCUCAUAUCUCACAUG